rnacentral:tRNA from 1 species
GGGGAUGUAGUUCAGUUGGUAGAGUGCUUGCCUAGCAUGUACAAGGCCCUGGGUUCAAUCCCUAGCACCACCA